UCCACUCAGUCCUCCUCAGGUCUGCUCGGUGUGCCAUGGAUGGCAUCAUCCCAGACAUAGCAGUUGGUACAAAGCAGGGAUCCGACGAACUCUUCUCCACAUGCAUCAGCAACGGCCCCUUCAUCAUGAGUGGCAGCACGGCCUCAGCAGCCAAUGGAAAUGACAGCAAGAAGUUCAAAAAGGACAGCAGGAGUGCGGGUGUCCCCUCCAGAAUCAUUCACGUGUGCAAGCUGCCUAGCAAUGUGACGGAGGGCGAGGUCAUCUCCCUGGGGCUGCCUUUCGGGAAGGCGACUAACCUGCUCAUGCUGAAGGGCAAGAACCAGGCCUUCAUUGAGAUGGGCACAGAGGAGGCGGCCAACACCACAGUCAGCUACUACACCUCAGUGUCUCCUGUGCUGCAAGGUCAGCCCAUCUACAUCCAGUUCUCCAACCAUAAGGAGCUCAAGACCGACAGCUUCCCGAACCAGGCACACUGAAGGCAGUAAACUCUGUACAGUCGGGAAAUCUGGCCCUGGCUGCCUCCGCCGCGGCUGUGGAUGCUGGAUGGCAGUGGCGAGCCAGAGCCCUGUGCUCAGGAUCAUUGUGGAGAACCUCUUCUACCCCAUGACCCUGGACAUGCUGCACCAGAUCUUUUCCAAGUUCGGCACUGUGCUCAAGAUAAUCAUCUUCACCAAAAACAGCUAGUUCUGGGCACUGCUGCAGUACACCGACCCUGUGAGCGCCCAGCAUGCCAAGCUGUCUCUGGAUGGGCAGAACAUCUAUAAUGCCAGCUGCAUGCUGCACAUUGACCUCUCAGAGCUCACCAGCCUCAAUGUCAAGUACAACAAUGACAAGAGCCGCGACUGCAUGUGCCCAGACCUGCCCUCGGGGUCAGCCAUCCCUUAUUGGACCAGACCAAGGCCGCAGCCUUUGGUGUGCCUGGUAUAAUGUCAGCCUCUCCGUAUGCAGGAGCCGGGUUCCCUCCCACCUUUGCCAUCCCCCAGGCCGCAGGCCUUUCUGUCCCUAAUGUCCAUACCUGGCUUGCCCUGCUGGCCAUACCAUCUGCAGCAGGCCACAUCACCAUCCCAGGCCUGGCAGGAGCCUUGAACUCUAUUCUGCUGGUCAGCAACCUGAACCCCAAGAGAGUCACACCCCAAAGCCUCUUUAUUCUCUUUGGUGUCUAUGGUGAAGUGCAGCGGGUGAAGAUCCUGUUCAACAAGAAAGAAUGCACUAGUGCAGAUGGCAGCCAGGCGCAGCUGGCUAUGAGCCACCUGAAUGUCACAAACUACAUGAGAAGCAGGUGUACAUCACACUGUCCAAGCACCAGAGUAUGCAGCUGCUGCGGUAGGGCCAGGACCAAGGACUACAGCAGCUCCCCUCUACACUGCUUCAAGAAGCCUGGCUCCAAGAACUUCCAGAACAUCUUCCCACCCAUCUUCAGCUACCCUGCACCUCUCCAACAUCCUACCUUCUGUGUCUGAGGAUGACCUGAAGAACCUCUUCUCCAGCAAUGGAGGUGCCGUCAAAGGUUUCAAAUUCUUCCAAAAAGACCGCAAGAUGGUGCUGAUCCAGAUGGGCUCCAUGAAGGAGACAGUGCAGGCACCGAUUGAGCUGUACAACCAUGACCUCAUCGAGAACCACCACCUGCACUUGUCCUUCUCCAAGUCUACCAUCUAGUCCGCACUCUAUGACGCCACCCAAUUGUAGCUGAAGUGACCUUACACACCAGAGAUUUUAUUUUUUUAAAGAGAGAUCAGUUUACCUGUUUUUAAAAAAAUUAAAUCUAGCCUACCUCACCAUAGCAACAGCUUGGGCCACUGUGGCCCAGAUAGGCCGGUGCCAUGCCUUGAGGGGCCCAGGCGUGAGGCUGUGGCGCCCCAGAACACCUCCACCUCCGCCUUCAGUGUCCUGCUGCAGCCUCCCCACCCCAAAAUCAAAUGAUGUGAUUCUCCUUCUGGCCGUGCUCAGCUGCAUCCUUCAUAUUAGACCUGUGUGGUCAGAUGCCUGUGCCUAGAGCAGUUGACCAGAUGACCUAAUCUUUCCAUUUACAUGCAAGAGAUACGGUUUUAAGUAACUUUUUAUAGCCAAUAUGACUUUUGUUAAAAGAUAAUUAGAGGGGCUGGAGAGAUGGCUCAGUGGUUAAGAACACUGACUGUUCUUG